rnacentral:rRNA from 1 species
GAUGAACGCUGGCGGCGUGCCUAAUACAUGCAAGUCGAGCGAACGGGCGAGAAGCUUGCUUCUCUGAUGUUAGCGGCGGACGGGUGAGUAACACGUGGAUAACCUACCUAUAAGACUGGGAUAACUUCGGGAAACCGGAGCUAAUACCGGAUGAUAUUUUGAACCGCAUGGUUCAAAAGUGAAAGACGGUCUUGCUGUCACUUAUAGAUGGAUCCGCGCUGCAUUAGCUAGUUGGUAAGGUAACGGCUUACCAAGGCAACGAUGCAUAGCCGACCUGAGAGGGUGAUCGGCCACACUGGAACUGAGACACGGUCCAGACUCCUACGGGAGGCAGCAGUAGGGAAUCUUCCGCAAUGGGCGAAAGCCUGACGGAGCAACGCCGCGUGAGUGAUGAAGGUCUUCGGAUCGUAAAACUCUGUUAUUAGGGAAGAACAUAUGUGUAAGUAACUGUGCACAUCUUGACGGUACCUAAUCAGAAAGCCACGGCUAACUACAUG